GACGAACGCUGGCGGCGUGCUUAACACAUGCAAGUCGAACGAUGAACCCGGAGCUUGCUCCGGUGGAUUAGUGGCGAACGGGUGAGUAACACGUGAGUAACCUGACAUUGACUCUGGGAUAACUGCGGGAAACUGUAGCUAAUACCGGAUACGACCCUCGGCGGCAUCGCCAGGGGGUGGAAAGAAUGUCGGUGAAGGAGGGACUCGCGGCCUAUCAGCUAGUUGGUGAGGUAACGGCUCACCAAGGCGAGGACGGGUAGCCGGCCUGAGAGGGUGACCGGGCAAACGGGGAAAGAGACACGGCACAGAGUCGUAAGGGAGGCAGCAGUAGGGAAGAUUGCACAAUGGGGGCAAGCCUGAUGCAGCAACGACGCGUGAGGGAUGACGGCUUUCGGGUUGUAAACCUCUUUUAGUAGGGAAGAAGCGAAAGUGACGGUACCUGCAGAAAAAGCACCGGCUAACUACGUGCCAGCAGCCGCAGUAA
rnacentral:rRNA from 1 species